rnacentral:lncRNA from 1 species
GCAAGUGUGUCUCAUGAGUGCAGCCCUGCCACUGCUGCUGCUGGAGUGGGCGUCUGCUCACGGGGCUCACCUGCAGCUUCUCUCUUCUCUCUUUCCAGGAACUGCUGGACUACAUUGACAGAGUGGCUGUGCAAGAGAGGGUCAUGGGCAGGAUCAGGCUGCUGAGCCAUUUGCUGGCCGACUCUUCCACUGUGCAGGUAAGGACCGGCCACCCUCCUGCCAGGCCAUCUCCCCAUCCCUGUGCCCUGGAAUAGCCACAGCUCCAAGGUGCCUGCAAGGCCUCAGCUGCCCACCCUCAGACCUUCUGCUCUUCUGCCUGCCUCCCCCAGGCUGGUCAAAAUGAGGGCAGCGGUGCUGCCAGCACAGAGAUCCAGAUACCAGUCCUUGGGAAGCUGCUGGGACAUCUCCUAUUCAAGUCACUCAGGACAGAAAAGACAAGCUCUAUGGCUCUGGAUUGUCUCUGCUCUCUCUUCACAUUCACCGGUCAUCAGAAAGGUGCCACACCACCAGUGGUUCGUGCCCAGCUCCCAGCAUAUUGGGAAUCUGAGAUCACCUCCUUGCUGCGUAAGCCCAGCGCCCGGAGAGUUCAGGUGACCAGCCCUCCCCCUUGCUGGGCCUCUCAUCCGUGGCAUCAGCAGGGGAUUGGUGUGCACAAAGGGGCGCAGAAUCAGCGGGGCUGUCCCUGGCGAGAGGCUUCCCGCUGUCCCCGAGCAGGGAACACUGCGGUGUCCCAGCAGCAGCAGCAGCAGCAGCUCCAGCCCUGCUGGCCACCAGCGAGCCCUGGCUCUCUGUAGGGCCCGUGCCCCAUGCCUGAGAGCCCAGCCCUCCUCCUUGUCAC